AGAGGCGGAUAUUACAGAGAACUCCCGGAUGAUACGUGAUUCGUCAGAGGGACUGGUGUGAGAUUUUGGACAGUGCCGAGAGAGCGGUGACCCCCGGGGGGAGAGAGACGGGUGGGAGUGAAUACAGGAAGUACAGAAGCCGGUCAGGUGGGACGCGACGAGAUAACAUAGGUGACACCGGCGCACAGCUUUGUAUCCCUGGAAACCUUUUGGCUCUGCUGGAGAAGAACAGAAACAGGAAGACGUGGAAAAUAGAGAGGGAGGAAGAGAGCAGGGACCCGUCCUCAUCUGAGUUUAUGGACUGGAGAUGCACCUAAACCAACACCUCUCUCCCAGCCUCCUAUGUUUAAGAGGGGGAGAGAGGCUAAAACGAGUGUGUGAGAGAAGGAGAUAGAGGAGCCAGAGGAGCACUGAGAGCCAGAGGAGCACUGAGAGCCAGAGGAGCACUGAGAGCCAGAGGAGCACUGAGAGCCAGAGGAGCACUGAGAGCCAGAGGAGCACUGAGAGCCAGAGGAGCACUGAGAGCCAGAGGAGCACGUGGAGGAGGACAAACGGUCCUAAUUUCCUUCUCUCAGGCCUUGCUGUGUUGUUUUGUUUGGGAACAGCAGUUGUUUGGUUCCACCUGUGCUGUUCUGGUUGGGA
rnacentral:lncRNA from 1 species